CCCUUAGAUGUCCUGGGCCGCACGCGCGCUACACUGAGUGUCUGAGAUACGAGUCUGCCUGGUCCGGCAAGGUCUAGGUAAUCGCUAAAAGACACAUCAUGCUUGGGAUAGAUUUUUGCAAAUAUUAAUCUUGAACGAGGAAUUCCUAGUAAGCGCAAGUCAACAGCUUGCGUUGAUUACGUCCCUGCCCUUUGUACACACCGCCCGUCGCUACUACUGAUUGGAUGUUUAAGCGAGGUUCUCGAACUGCUAGCGACUUAGCUUCGGUGAGGUCGCAGUGUGGGAAGUGAACCGAGCUUUGGUGUCUAGAGGAAGUAAAAGUCGUAACA
rnacentral:rRNA from 1 species